CUACAAUUUGCUGUUUGGAGGGCUUUGUAGUGUGAAUACUUGCUUCCACCUGCAAAUUUUAGUUAUUCUAGUAAGAACCUGCAUAGAGCGUUGCUUGGAUUUGACCCAGAUAAGUCCAUUUGCAUUGGACUUAAUGCACUGGGAAGGGCAACUCUGUGUUCUGUGCACUGCUGGUCAUGCUGGCCCACUGCUGGGAAGUCAAGGAGGUGGAGGUCUGACUUGAUGCUGCACAGGAAAGUAUCCCGGUGCCUGGGAUGCCUGUAUGAGUAACUAGCUGCAUCAGUUAUUUGCCACUAGCUGGCAGCUUCUCAUCGAGCCCGGUCAGUCUCUCAGUGAUCAGUCACUGCCAUGGUUCAACACGUUCCCAUUGAAGCAGGCAAAGAACAAGUUGGCAAUCACAACUGAUUUGUAAAUCUGGGGACUUUGCUGCUGCUAAAAUGAGCAACUGAUCUGAGGCAGGGUGAGAGCACUAAGGUUUUAGAGAAGAUCCAGAAGAAAAGUGAAGAAAGCUUCAAAUAGAUGAAAUUGGGACACAGUAGAAAACUGUUCAGAUAAAGUAAUUUAAAACAUUUUUAAAGGAAAAGGAGAGACUGCUUAUUCAGCAAAUAAUUUAUGUCCUAGAGAUUCAGCUUUAUUUUAAAGUCUUCGGGAUAUUAUUGAUCCUUUUGCUGAAAAAUAUAAAUGAAAGAAGGAACAUAAA